CAUGUCCAGAAGGAUGGAGUGUACUUGGAAAGUGUUACUACAUGCCUCCUUUUUCGCAAAGCUGGACCGAAGCCCGUAGCACCUGUCAAGGUGUGGGGGCUGAUCUUGUGACCAUUGACAGCAGAGAGGAACAGGCUUUCAUCACUAAGCUGAACUCCAAUGCAUGGGGAUGGAUUGGCCUGCAAAAAUAUGGGAGCAACUGGAAGUGGGUGGAUGGUACGCUUCCCAACUUAAGAUACUGGACACCUGGACAGCCCAACGGUGGUGCCAACGAGAACUGUGCUAUGACCGGAUGGCCUGACGCAGGCGGAAACCCCAUGCUCACCUGGCAGGACUAUCCAUGUAGCUCACCAUUCCGACCCACAUGCGAGAAACAAGCUAAUUAGGGGUUUAUUUGCCUCGCUUUCACACCUGUGUUUGCCUGGUUACCACCAGACCUAAUCACAAGGGAGUGAUUGUGCAAAGCAGUAUGGGAAUUCUCAGGUUACACCAGUGUAGUUCCGCACAGCUCCACUUAGGUGCUGUUAACACUUAUCCGGAGAUUUUAAAUGUGGAUAUUUUUUAUCCUGUUUAUGUGUAAAACGCAACAUAUGGAUAAAAAUAAAAAUUCCCUUGUAACAGUCCCAGUUAAGCCACCUAAAUGUGCUAUUCUUUAAAUUUGGAUUUUUGAAAAACAGAUUUUAAAACUCUGUUUACAUGUAAACGGAAGGCCAAAACCAGUGCGUUUUCAAAAAGAUCCAUAUACAUGUAGGUGCAAACAGAUUCUACAGUAUGUAGGUCUGGGAGGGGUGCACAUUGAAUUCACUUUUGGAAGGUAUGGCUUUAUACUGAUUGUGAUGCUAGCCCACUGCUUCGUGCGCCAUUGCAAUAACAAAGGUAUUUUGCCACCGAUAGCCUGUAUUGUGUUGAAUUGCGAAAUCCAAAUUAAAUGUUUCCAAAUAGCAUGUG